rnacentral:rRNA from 1 species
CCUACGGGAGGCAGCAGUGGGGAAUAUUGCACAAUGGGCGGAAGCCUGAUGCAGCGACGCCGCGUGAGGGAUGAAGGCCUUCGGGUUGUAAGCCUCUUUCAGCAGGGACGAAGCGUGAGUGACGGUACCUGCAGAAGAAGCACCGGCUAACUACGUGCCAGCAGCCGCGGUAAUACGUAGGGUGCGAGCGUUGUCCGGAAUUACUGGGCGUAAAGAGUUCGUAGGCGGUUUGUCGCGUCGUUUGUGAAAACCCGGGGCUCAACUUCGGGCUUGCAGGCGAUACGGGCAGACUUGAGUGUUUCAGGGGAGACUGGAAUUCCUGGUGUAGCGGUGAAAUGCGCAGAUAUCAGGAGGAACACCGGUGGCGAAGGCGGGUCUCUGGGAAACAACUGACGCUGAGGAACGAAAGCGUGGGUAGCAAACAGGAUUAGAUACCCUGGUAGUCCACGCCGUAAACGGUGGGCGCUAGGUGUGGGUUCCUUCCACGGGAUCUGUGCCGUAGCUAACGCAUUAAGCGCCCCGCCUGGGGAGUACGGCCGCAGGCUAAACUCAAAGGAUUGACG